rnacentral:rRNA from 1 species
CCUACGGGAGGCAGCAGUGAGGAAUAUUGGUCAAUGGACGAGAGUCUGAACCAGCCAAGUAGCGUGAAGGAUGACUGCCCUAUGGGUUGUAAACUUCUUUUAUAUGGGAAUAAAAUAUUCCACGUGUGGGAUUUUGUAUGUACCAUAUGAAUAAGGAUCGGCUAACUCCGUGCCAGCAGCCGCGGUAAUACGGAGGAUCCGAGCGUUAUCCGGAUUUAUUGGGUUUAAAGGGAGCGUAGGUGGAUUGUUAAGUCAGUUGUGAAAGUUUGCGGCUCAACCGUAAAAUUGCAGUUGAAACUGGCAGUCUUGAGUACAGUAGAGGUGGGCGGAAUUCGUGGUGUAGCGGUGAAAUGCUUAGAGAUCACGAAGAACUCCGAUUGCGAAGGCAGUUCACUGGACUGCAACUGACACUGAGGCUCGAAAGUGUGGGUAUCAAACAGGAUUAGAUACCCCUGUAGUC